UUGACACUGAACAUUGAGCCUUGAUGUGUAGGAUAGGUGGGAGGCUUUGAAGUGUGGACGCCAGUCUGCAUGGAGCCGACCUUGAAAUACCACCCUUUAAUGUUUGAUGUUCUAACGUGGACCCGUAAUCCGGGUUGCGGACAGUGUCUGGUGGGUAGUUUGACUGGGGCGGUCUCCUCCUAAAGAGUAACGGAGGAGCACGAAGGUUGGCUAAUCCUGGUCGGACAUCAGGAGGUUAGUGCAAUG
rnacentral:rRNA from 1 species